CAAAGGAAUGACCGGGACCCGCACAAGCGGUGGAGCAUGUGGUUAAUUCGAAGCCAACGCGAAGAACCUUACCAAAUCUUGACAUCCCUCUGACCGGUCUUUAAUCGGACCUUCUCUUCGGAGCAGAGGUGACAGGUGGUGCAUGGUUGUCGUCAGCUCGUGUCGUGAGAUGUUGGGUUAAGUCCCGCAACGAGCGCAACCCCUAUCCUCAGCAGCCAGCAUUUAAGGUGGGCACUCUGGGGAGACUGCCAGGGAUAACCUGGAGGAAGGCGGGGAUGACGUCAAAUCAUCAUGCCCCUUAUGAUUUGGGCUACACACGUGCUACAAUGGCGUAAACAAAGGGAAGCGAGAUUGUGAGAUGGAGCAAAUCCCAAAAAUAACGUCCCAGUUCGGACUGUAGUCUGCAACCCGACUACACGAAGCUGGAAUCGCUAGUAAUCGCGGAUCAGAAUGCCGCGGUGAAUACGUUCCCGGGUCUUGUACACACCGCCCGUCACACCAUGGGAGUCAGUAACGCCCGAAGUCAGUGACCUAACUCAAAGAAGGAUGUGCCGAAGGCGGGA
rnacentral:rRNA from 1 species